CCCACAAAUCCAGACCAGACCAGGCCAGAGGACCAAACCCUAGCUAGCUCGCCGCGCGCAACCCUCCCGCCAGAUCUCGCCGUCGAUCCCCGACCUCCCAUGGCCGCUCCCGCCCCCCGCCUCGCCGGCUUCUAGUUCGCGAGCUAGCCGCGCGCGGAUCGGGGUAACAAAGCAUGGAGGAGGACGCGGCCGCGGCGCCCGACUCGUGGGAGACGGCCGACCUCGACGGGGCCAUGAGCCGCCUGCUCCUCUCCUCCUCCUCCCCCGGUGGCGCCGCGCGAAGGGUCUCCUCCUCCUCGCCCGACCUCGCGGACGACCACCAGGAGCAACCGCAGCAGCAGGCCGACGAUCCGGUCGCGCAGGUCGACCAGUUCCUCCGCGAGGCCCUCGAGAAGCCCCGCGAGCGCCUGCAAGUGCUACGGAUGGAGCAAGACAUUCUGAAGUUCCUUCGUGACCCUGGGCAGACGCAGUUUGAGUUCCAGGGUCUUCCGACUUCGUACCUGCGCCUCGCUGCGCACCGUCUGGCACAGCAUUAUUUCCUGAUAUCGAUCGCCCUGCCGGAUAACAGCCUGCCUGACGGAACCAGUUCGCGGAUCAUCCUUCGCAAAACGUCGGCUGAGUGCCGAUUGCCUGCUGUCCGCCUAGCUGAUAUUCCAGUUAAUCUCCCUCAAGAAGAGAGCAGCGCUGUGGCCACCAAAGUAGCUAUUAAGCAAAGGCCUCAGAAGAAUCAGCAUGGCGGCGCAGGCGCAGGUGCCAACUCUAACAGAGGCAACCUUCAGAAAAGCGUCGAGGAGAGGAAAGAGGAAUACAACAGGGCACGUGCUCGCAUAUUUAACAGCAGUAGUGGUAGCACUAGUCCGGUUGAUGGAAGACCAGCUGAUGAAGUGGUUUUGCCCAACACCCUACAUAGGUCCACUUCCUUGGAGUUGAACUCAAACACCAGGUUCGGUGAAUUGACUGAAGCUACCCUUGAAAGGAGUUUGACUAGCACCGCAUCUAGCAGCAGAUCAAAUAAUAGAAGCAGGAUUGACAAGGAGCCUCCAGUCAAUAGGGGCAGGCAAGGCAAUAGGGUGGCGAUAUUUCGAGACCGUGACUCUGAUCGCAAGGAUCCUGAUUAUGACAGAAGCUAUGACAGGUAUAUGCAAAGAUUUGAUCCUGGAUUUGGAUUUAAUGGCGGCGCGUACACCAUUCAACCUUUGUAUGCUCCUGCUGUUACCUACAACACUGAGUUCCCCCAGCUUGGGUCACCACAAAUGUCUCCUGUUCCUGUUGAACAGCAGCAGCCCCAUCCAAUGGCUCAGCACAUGCCUGGGCCCUGGUCGCCGGCUCAAUCACCUAAUGCAGUUGGCUACAGGCCUCCAGAUGGUGUUAUGCCACCCUACAGUCCUGGUCAAGCUGGUGCUCCUGUCAGAUCUUCUGUUUUCAUGCAUGCUUCCCAGCAAUAUGCCAUGCCUUCACGCCCAGGGGUCACAUUUGUACAUCCACAGGAUUCCAUGCGACCAUUUGCACAGACUCACCACCAACAACAAUCUGAAGCUAGUCUACGCUUAGCCCGGCCCCGGAGCAGGCAUGAAAGAACCGAGAAGCGCCGGGCCGAGCUAGUCAUUUGCCUGAUCCUGUCAUGCCCGUGCGCUUCUCGGUGUUGUUCCUCCCUGCACAUUGAGAUGCAGGCGGGGCACCGUACUCCUUCAUCGGAGGGGCACAUGUUGCCGCCACUGGCUCCUCGGAACACGAGUGGCGCCACGUGAGCUGCAAUAGAAGAGAAGAGAAGAGAAUGGCGUGGGGACAUCCAGCAUGUGGAUCGACAGCCGGGACCUGGGUUACUGCAUCGACUGCCACCCUUGCUCCCAGUGUCUGCAGGGAACUGCCGCUGAUGAUGACGACGAUGACGACGAAGAGUUUCCAGUCCUGGCUUUGUGUUGUCUUAAGAUUCUUGUUCAUUCAAACUCGGUAGUAGUACUAGUAGUAGUAGAGUACCAUAAGCUGCAGACCGACGCCCUCAAGGAGGCCAUCACCCAGGUGGUGGCGGACGCCAAGGAGAAGAACAGGAAGUUCACCGAGACCGUUGAGCUCCAGAUCGGCCUCAAGAACUAUGAUCCGCAAAAGGACAAGCGUUUCAGCGGCUCUGUCAAGCUGCCCCAUGUCCCUCGCCCCAAGAUGAGGGUCUGCAUGCUCGGUGACGCCCAGCAUGUGGGAGAGGCUGAAAAGAUUGGUCUUGAUUCCAUGGAUGUUGAAGCUCUUAAGAAGAUGAACAAGAACAAGAAGCUUGUCAAGAGGCUUGCCAAGAAGUACCAUGCUUUCUUGGCCUCAGAGGCUAUCAUCAAGCAGAUUCCACGUCUCCUUGGUCCUGGUCUCAACAAGGCAGGCAAGUUCCCGACUCUGGUUUCUCACCAGGAGUCUCUGGAAGCCAAGGUGAACGAGACGAAAGCAACAAUCAAGUUCCAGCUCAAGAAGGUGCUGUGCAUGGGCGUCGCGGUGGGCAACCUGUCGAUGGAGGAGAAGCAGAUCCAGCAGAACAUCCAGAUGAGCGUCAACUUCCUGGUUUCCCUGCUCAAGAAGAACUGGCAGAACGUGAGGUGCCUGUACAUCAAGAGCACCAUGGGGAAGCCGGUCCGUGUGUUCUAAAGCCUGUACCCCUACCGCCCAUCUAUAUCAAUGCUACCUAGAAUACUGGACUUCCUUACUAUGUUUACGCAUAAAUAUGUCGGUGUUGUGUCGUAGUUUUUAUCGAAUUUUGCGCGUGCCUGGUGAAGAUGACAGAACGACCACUACUGUUUCUCUUGAGUUGUGAUUCUGCUGGAGUGAUGUGCUCA